rnacentral:lncRNA from 1 species
AUGCCUCUUAAAUUUUUUCUUCUCACAGGGUCUCCAAUGAAAGAAGGUGUUCUGAUUAAGCAAGCGUUCAAACUCCUUCACAGCAAUCUGUCACUGUACAGAAAUCCUAAAUGCUGGGGUUCCUUCAUCAUGAUUAUGGGUAGUAGCAGUUUUCUAGAAAGAAAUGGGCACCUUCGUCCCCUGACAGUGAAGGAGCCACCGAUUGCGUUCCAGCAGGGGGUGCUGACUGCCACUGAUGGUCUCUUCCAGGAGCUGAAGGCAAAAGUUAAUGUUUCUUUCCCACCUGGUAUCUUCUCCCAAUUGCACCAGGAGGCUUGUCUUAUUCUUGCAGUGCAAGCAGUACAACAGAUGGUUGUCUGUGAACUCCCAUACUUAACUUCCUUCCUAGAGAUAUUCCUGGCGUUUGGGAAUAACUUCUGGGCUCUGAGGCUGUUACUGAAUCAUCUUUCCUAUGAUGAGCACAUUCUCCAUGGCAUUGUCAAUCUGGUUUUGAGAGAUUUGAAUCGUCAGAAAGCAACAAUGCUGAAACUAUGGCAAAACCUUGGUCCCCAGUACGUGGGUGAAUUUGUUUGCCUGUUCCUGACUUGCAGAAACAGGAUAUUGCAAUCCAUUGGUUUGUUCACUCUGGAUGUCAUUACGGAGAACUUGCACAUGUGUCCGUGGGCAAAGCACCUUUGCAACUUCUUUCACAAUGCAGGGUUAAUGCACCUCCCCCUUGGCGCCGCAACUCAUCACGAAGUCUCAAAGUUCAUAGAUAUUCUUGAAAAACUGUGAUCUGGCAAAAUCUGCAGGCGUGUUUCUCAGCUUGCCUUGGUCUGCCCCGUCGCUCCCUGGGUUCUCUCGCGUUCCGUUUUGGUUGCAGUCUCUUCCCUCCCUUGAAACGUUCACCUACAAACUGACUUCAGACAAAGCGCGAAAAUAAAAGCUCAGAUCUAGAUGGGGAACA